rnacentral:lncRNA from 1 species
UUUUUUUUUACCUAUUAUUGAAUAUUGGAUACUUUUCUUGAGUUUUUCCAACACUUUUGGUAAAGCUAAGGAGUCACUCACCUCAAUAGGAUUGGUAUAUUAUGGAAAGGUUUAGAUUAAAUCUUCUAUUCUUUUUGUUUCUCUUUGUUCUUUUCUUUCACCUUUUUUUUAAUGAAUUUUGUUAUAUAUUUUAUUUUUUCC